AUAGUGAUAUACCGAGGAAGCUGCCUUAGCGAGUCAGACCAUUGGUCAGUUUAGCUCAGUAUUGUCUGCAGCGACUGGCUUUCUAUCUCUGGGAUUUCAGAUGGUCUUUCUUUCCCAGGCCUACCUGGAGAUCAAAAUGGGUUUUUUCCCAUGCAAAGCAGGUGCUCUACUACUGAGAUAGGCCCCUUCCUCUAAACCCGGGAAUUACGGGUUUUCUGCUAUGUGUAAAAGGAGGUUGGAAUGCUCUCCCUUUAGAAACAUUGCUUAAUGAAGAAUAUCCUUACUUGUUAGAGAAACAGGGACGGGAAAAGGAAGGGAGACAUGGAAGCAAGGCGGAACAGGAGGCCCCUAAAAGUUCUGAAGAAACAUCCAAACUCGGGAGGAACAAGUCACCCUGCGCAGAUCCAUCUCUAUGAAAAUGAUCUUCGCCAUCAGGAUGACCAAGAAAUCUUUAAAUUGAUGCUGAGGAGCCUCCUUUCAGAGGCCCCAACCAUCAAGACAUUACCAUGCAUGUUGAAGUGAAUGUGUUGAUGGCGUGACAUUACGUCUCAUUUCAGCAGAGCGGCUCACCCCUCCAACCCAUAUUUCGUCAGCAGAAUCACCCACUGUUCACCCCUUGGGCCCUUCCACUGCCAGCAGGCAAGCUGAACACCUUGGAGACUUCCGGACUAACAUGCUCCAUGAUGGGUUGUAGUUUGUGCUCCUGUUUUCUCUAGACAGACGAAGUUGCAAGGUGAGAGAAAAAGGGGGAGCAGCUGAAGUCGAAGUUGCCCCGAUGCUCAAGUGGAGAUCUUGGGAGGCAAAAGUUCCAGGUGGCGCAGCAAGGGGUUUCCCUUCCUCAAAUUUCAACAAAACUGAGAACUGAACAAAGAGUAGAGGGGAGAACCUCAGCGCUCUGAAUGAAAAGCACUCUCGCUUGCCAACGCCUUGAAACCCGAGUGAACAGCACUGGUCUGCUCUGCAAAAAUAGGGAAUUAAAAAUGAACCAACUGCAUCCCAAUAACAAGCAGAAAGCAAGGAGCAAAUAGAUCCAUCUCUAUGGAAACAAUCUUCGCCAUCAGGAUGACCAAGAUAUCUUUAAAUUGAUGCUGAGGGGCCUCCUUUCAGAGGCCCCAACCAUCAAGACAUUACCAUGCAUGUUGAGGUGAAUGUGUUGAUGGUGUGAUGUUGCGUCUCAUUUCAGCAGAGCUGGCAGGGAGGCUCACGAUCCAUCGUUCAGUCCUUGGGUCCUUCCACUGCCGGCAGGCAAAGCUGAACACCCUGGAACAGCACUACCCCACAUUUCUGGCAAGGGAUCUCUCCUGCUGUGCAAGAGGGAUGGUGGUCUUGAUUCUGAGGGGCUUUUUCCUCCUAUAGAGCUGAGCCUUUGCAUGAUAACAAGCUGAGGAGAAGAGGGACCUGGCUAUCAGCAGCAUCCAAUAUCUGCUGGCAUGUGCAGGGAAGUUUCCCAACCUGAUCUUAUGCAUCUCGCCUUCAUUCCCUUAUUUCAAAUAGUUUGAGGACAAAUGACACCAGAGGUGGGUGGAGCAUGGUCUCCCCGUGGGGCCAUGAUGGUUCAGGUGGCAUUUUUUGCCCUCCCUCUUGGUGAUGCCCUUUGGCCUGUGCCCACUAGGCAACAGAGCCCAUAGAGCAGGCAUAGGCAAACUCAGCCCUCCAGAUAUUUUGGGACAACUCCCAUCAUCCCUGACCACUGGUCCUGUUAGCUAGGGAUGAUGGAAGUUAGUCCCAAAACAUCUGGAGGGCCGAUUUUGCCUAUGCCUGCCAUAGAGUUUCCUUUGAGGUAAAGGAGUGGAGCUGAACAUCUGGAUCUCACUUAGUUCUGCUUUGGAUUUCUCUUGUACCAACUCUCUGGGUUGGGCUGUACGUGCCCCCCCCCCAAAGGACCUGAUUUUCUUGUCUCAGCAGUUGGUGCCCAUUAAAGAUACCUUCUUUCCAGAACUGGCCUGGCUGUGCCCCUGAAACAGAAGCUAAGAUCCCCAUGUGGAACUCAGAAUGAACCGACAGGCCUCACUUUCCACACUAAAGCCAUCACCUGUAGCUUAACUGGGACCUGAGGACGGCCUGCUUCACAGCUGUAGCAUGGAGUCUUGAAAUCCCAGUCUUUCGCCAUGGCCAAAAAGCAGGGAGGGGAUGGAGAGGCAGUUGCCAGCUGCUGUGUCAAUGUACAGGUUUUUGUAUGACGAUACAAUGAACUCAGUUCUGAUGUUGCAAAUAAUUCAUUGGGCUGAGCAGGUGCUUAGAGGCACUCUGUUCUUAUAGCUAUCUGUGUAUGUCUGCUCCCACUCUGUGCAUCAGUUUUGCACCUGGUUUGGGUUGGAACAUGGGGGGGGGGGAGUUACAGUAAAAUACAAAGCCAAGCCUGAAGUCUGCCCGUCCCUGUUAGGAAGAAUAAACUGUAUCAAGUGUUAUAAAUAGCAA